CGAGCCCGCGUCGAGCGGGAUGACGCCGUUCGAGGUGGCGUGGCGCAGCACCGAGGUGAGCGCCGCCGCGUUCGGCUCGCGCGUGCCCGGC
rnacentral:tRNA from 1 species